UUGUUGGUUUCGCGGUUAACUUUCUACUUUGGUCUUCUAGUUUGGGAUCUAAAAGUAACAUAAGCACUAACGACACGAAUAGAACUUAAGGUUUAAAAUUAGUUUAUUUGACACGGCACGAUACAUUUUCUGUUUUACUGAGCCAAGUACAAUUCGUAUUAAUUCUACGUUAGCAGGGAAAAGAGGGAGGCCUUUUAUUUAUUCUCGCGGCCGACUACGAGCUAGUGGGGAUUUAAGAUUUAGGCUCUUCGUGUUCGUGUCUCCAGCGUCGUAUACGGUACAGUUGUGUCAUGUACUGGAGAUCACCGCUUCCCAGAAUGUCUCUAACGGGUACGUUCGGUUGUUUUCCUCGGGCCCGGAGGGAAUCUAUAAGCUCGGACCUAACAUCACAGAAUUCGGCACACGACCAAACAACAUGCUCGAUGUCAUGGUAGCCAUCGCCACAAACGCAGUGAUUACUGUCUAC